AGGGAACUGAGGGGAGACUCACCCGCGGCGUGGUUGGAACGCGGGAGGGAUGAGCCGAGGGGUCUGUCUGGGGGCUGGAGGGCCGUGGACUGAGCCUGGGAGAGACAGUGGCCCUCUUCACCGCGAGGCACCGUGGGACCCAACGGGGGAGUUGACUCUCGGGGAGGAGGCUGAGCUGCAGGCAGCAGAGACCGGCUCCAUCCCUGGUCACGCGCGGAGGCUGUCCCUCGAUCCCAUGGUCAGGACUGUCCCUUUUCUUCCCACUGUGCCAACAGCCCUUCAAAAAUAUGAGUCCUCACUUAUCCUCUGCUUUCCCUCCAAAACUGAUGAAGAGAAGAUGGUUCAAGGAAAACCUGCAGGUGGGCUUGGACCACUGCAGCCGAGAGGUGGGUGUGUCUGCAGGGACGGGCCCAGAGCCGGGGAAGCCGGGGUGUCCGGCUCAGUGGAGGUGUCCAUGGAGUGGAGGAGGCUCCUGGGUCAUUGUAGAUGCCCCUGCCCCCAGGGGGGACACAGCACCCAAUGCUGUCCUGUCACACAUGGACUCUGAGGGCCCCCUAAGGAGGCACAUGCGGAACAGGACACAACAGAAACCAGGCUCUCCCUCGCAGGCAAGUCCCUUCCCCUCUGCAAGCCUCAGUUUCCUCAUAAGCGGAAUCAGGAUGUCACAGAUAGCCUGGAAGCAUCAGCUCAGAGCCUCAGAACCAUGGCCUGGCCCAGAAGGAGCCCAGCAACAGGUAAAAGUACCAACAAUGGUGAUGAUCCUGAAGACACGUUGCCACUAUCAGCUGGGAGGAUUGUGGUUAUUUAAAUUUUCUUGUUUACCUAUACUUAAAACCCCACAAAGACCCCUCUGCUCUUAGCAUUAAGACUAAGACUCUUAAACUGGCCCAUACGACCCAUGAUUGUCUGACCUCUGCUCCUUACACCUUGGAUUAGGCAUUUUAACAGUUUACUGUGAUGAAAUACCUGAGGCUGAGUCACUUUAGAGAGAUAAGAGGGUUUUGGGGGCUCACAAUUCAGGGGGCUCCAGAGCACAGCACUGACAGCUUGGCUCUGCUGGAGACAUCAUGGUGGGUAGCAUCAAAAUGACAGAAAAACAUGCGAGAGGGAGAAAUUACGUCACCAGAGAGGAAGCCAGAGAAACUGGGGAGUGGCCGGGCAACUUCCUGUUAUGGUUUAGAUAUGAUGUGACCUCCAGAAGCCACGCGUGAGACAAUGAGAGGAAGUUCACAGGUGAAAUGACCGGCUUAUGAGAGCUCUGACCUGAUGGGUGGAUGAACCCAUUGAUGUGGAUUAACUGGGUGCUCUACAGACAGGAACAGCAUUCAAGGAAAUGGAGUCUGCUGAAGAGACUCUGGUGAAGGCUGAGAAGGGGCAGUGUGUGAGUGCCAGCCGAGGGACUUGGGCUGCAGCUCUUCCUCGGGAGGAUUGCGAGCAGAGAAAGAUGUCAUGAACUGAGCAGAUUUCCCGCCCCAUAUCCUGCCACCAUGAGGUUCUGCCUUAUCUCAAGUUAAGAGCCAUGGAGUCAGCUAUCCAUGGACUACACCUCUGAAACUCCAAGACAAAAUAAACUCUUCCUCCUGUUGUUCUUGUCGGGUCUUUUGGUUACAGCAACGUGAAGCUGACUAAAAUACAGAUACUCUGCCAAGUACUUGACAUAUUGAUUCAUUUAAAACUCUGCAAGGUGGAGAAACUAUUUGCGCACCACAUAUCUGAUAAAGGAUCUCUGUUAUGUAGAGAACACUUAAGUUCAAUGACAAGACGUGCCUAAUCUGGAUAUCUAAUAGAAAUGCACUCCUACAACAUGUGGCCUUCUGAGUCCUGCUUCUGUUUCACUGAGCACAAUGUGCUCAAGGUCAUCCGCACUGCAGCCUGUAUUAGUGCUCCAUUCUUUUUAUGCCCGAAUAAUAUUCUAUUGGAUGGAUAUAUCACAUAGAAAUAGGCAGUAAGUUAGCAGUAGCCAGGGGGUUGGGGAGGAGUGAUCAACAGUGACUACCUCUUGGUUAUGGAGUUAGGAUUAGGUAAUGAAGAGGUUCUGCAGAUGGAUGGUGCUGGCGGUCGCACAAUAGUGUGAAUGUUCUCAAUGAAAUGGACUGUAUGCUCAAAGAUGGCUCAGAUGGUAGAGUGUAUGUCCUUUGUAUUUCCCCACAAUAAACACGUCUAAAUGGUUAGAAAAUUGAUAAACCAAAUGAAAAAUUGGGCAAAAUUUUGAAUGGAAAGUUUACCAAAGAGCAUACUGUACUUGGUGAAUGACCACGUACAGUAUGUCCAACAUCACUAGUCAUCACAGAAAUGCAAAUCAAAGCCAGAAGAGACAGGGAUACACCCCCCAUUAGAAUGCCUAAAAUUGAAAACACUGGCCCUAACAAAUG